CAGUCGCCACGGUAAUACGAAGGGGGCUAGCGUUGCUCGGAAUGACUGGGCAUAAAGGGCGCGUAGGCGGCGAUCAAAGUCAGGCGUGAAAUUCCUGGGCUCAACCUGGGGGCUGCGUUUGAUACUUGGUUGCUUGAGUGGGGAAGAGGGUCGUGGAAUUCCCAGUGUAGAGGUGAAAUUCGUAGAUAUUGGGAAGAACACCGGUGGCGAAGGCGGCGACCUGGUCCUUUACUGACGCUGAGGCGCGAAAGCGUGGGGAGCAAACAGGAUUAGAUACCCCCGUAGUCCCUGUCUCUUAUAC
rnacentral:rRNA from 1 species